UUGGCUGGAUAAAGUCUGGAUAUAGCCAGCCAAUGUGUAAUCGGCAAUGUUUUGAUGGAUGGGAGUAUUGACCAAUUAAAACACGAUUGCAGUGAUUGACAGUUCUCAAGCAGAUUUGUCAAACACAAGUGCGCAAUGUUGUUAUUCGCUCGUGCACUUUCGCCAUUUUACGCACGGAGCGCAUAGGCUAUGUAUUGGUUCGCUACACGGAGCUCGUAUCAACUCAUAGAUUUUCUCCAAAGUUAUAUUUGACAAUCUCCAUCAUGGAUCAUCGUCUACAGAAGCGUUUUUGUGGUGUUGAGAGUAUUUUGGAGGAAGUGAUGAGAAGCAGCGACGAAGAGCAAAGACGCAGAGAGAUGCAUCUGAGAACACGGUGUCGAGCGUCUGUCGAGAGGAGAUGUUUGUUCAUGGACUCGAUCCCGUUUUAGAUCGUGGCUUUGGUUUCCAGAACAAACCUUGGUGGUGACUGCCUUGAUCAACAUGUCUUCCUACACUUUGUAAAUACUGUAAGCAGUUGCUUUUUGUUUUUGUAAUUGGAUAUUCAUUGUAAUUGUUUAUUGUAACU